UACGUAGGUGGCGAGCGUUGUCCGGAUUUACUGGGCGUAAAGGGAGCGUAGGCGGACUUUUAAGUGAGAUGUGAAAUACCCGGGCUCAACUUGGGUGCUGCAUUUCAAACUGGAAGUCUAGAGUGCAGGAGAGGAGAAUGGAAUUCCUAGUGUAGCGGUGAAAUGCGUAGAGAUUAGGAAGAACACCAGUGGCGAAGGCGAUUCUCUGGACUGUAACUGACGCUGAGGCUCGAAAGCGUGGGGAGCAAACAGGAUUAGAUACCCCUGUAGU
rnacentral:rRNA from 1 species